rnacentral:rRNA from 1 species
UACCAGACUCCUACGGGAGGCAGCAGUGGGGAAUAUUGCACAAUGGGGGGAACCCUGAUGCAGCGACGCCGCGUGAAGGAAGAAGUAUUUCGGUAUGUAAACUUCUAUCAGCAGGGAAGAAAAAGGACGGUACCUGACUAAGAAGCCCCGGCUAACUACGUGCCAGCAGCCGCGGUAAUACGGAGGAUGCGAGCGUUAUCCGGAUUUAUUGGGUUUAAAGGGUGCGUAGGCGGAUUUUUAAGUCAGCGGUAAAAUGUCCGGGCUCAACCCGGGCCGGCCGUUGAAACUGGGGAUCUUGAGUGGGCGAGAAGUAUGCGGAAUGCGUGGUGUAGCGGUGAAAUGCAUAGAUAUCACGCAGAACUCCGAUUGCGAAGGCAGCAUACCGGCGCCCGACUGACGCUGAGGCACGAAAGCGUGGGGAUCGAACAGGAUUAGAUACCCGUGUA